CAUUGGCAUGAGUCCUAGCCAUGCCCAGAUCUUGAAUAGGAAAAAUUGGAUAGCUGCUCUGCAGCGUCCAGGCAGCAGCAGCUAUGACUCUAGGCAAAGCUACAAGUUCCAAGUUCCAAGUUCUGUGGUGUAGGAAGUAAAGCUAUGGAACCCAGUGUCCAGUGGCGGUGUUCGCUCCACCAGAAUCCCUCUUGAAACUCCAUUUGAGGCUCCUUUCCUGAUCAAUCCAAGCCUCCGAGUCAAUCAUCUGGCCAAAGCAAAAGACCAGGGAGCCUUCUGGAUGUUCUUGAUAUAUGAGAAGCCUACAUGGCAUCAGCUGGGAAAACUGCAGUCAACACUGGAAUAAUCAAAAGUGACCACAUGCAAUAAUAGUCUGUGUGACAGUGAAGAGGGGACACCAGGAAGCAGGUGUUCUAUAUGACAGAGGAUCAAUACUCCUGUUGAGGAGAUAAGAUAGAUUCCAAAUGGAAAAUAAACUCAUGGAGAAUACGAACAGGAAGACAAGAGAAGGGGAGGGAAAGUGAGACAAGCCUGCAGGAAACAACACAACAAAGGGAGUGUGGGGGAGUGUGCAAGGCCCACAGCUGACUGGCUGAUGAAAACUGACUGCAUGAGAGUGUGGGAUAGGACAGUCAAUACGAAUUUGCUUCCGUGACAAGGAAAGGGGACAAUGCGCACAUUUAGAAGCUUGAGCUAUACAAAUUAGCUAGGAUCUUCUACAUUCUAAUUUAACAGGCUUGCAGAAAAAUUUCAUCAUUUGUAACAUGUGUUGACAGCCUCAAAAACUUGAUUUUGUUUAGCAAGGCCUAGUUUUUAGUAAGAAAACAAGGACAACCCAUAUUUCAUUUCUUUUGAAAAUAUAUUUCAAUGAAAAGGGAGAUGGAUAGAGGUAAACCUAAUUUGCAUUAUUUAGUUCAAAAGAAAUGUUGCUUUGAUGCCACUGUGUAUAUUUGCAGCGCUUCCUUUCUCCCUUGGGAGCUGGUGUGUAUUAACAUUCCAUUCCUCUUUUUCAUUAUUGCUAUCACAUAAAUUAAAACACACACACACACACACACACACACACACACACACACACACACACACAGGAUUAUCUGAUAAAGCCAUAACAGCAACCUUCAAUAUGAGAACUUCCUCCAAAAAUUCAAUGCUACACAUAAAUAAAACUACACAGGCAAAUGUUAAAUAAAAUUUCAUUCCAUUAAAAAAAGAGAAAA